rnacentral:rRNA from 1 species
AUUGAACGCUGGCGGCAGGCCUAACACAUGCAAGUCGAGCGGAGCGGCGGACGGGUGAGUAAUGCCUAGGAAUCUGCCUGGUAGUGGGGGAUAACGUCCGGAAACGGGCGCUAAUACCGCAUACUAUGAGAUGAGCCUAGGUCGGAUUAGCUAGUUGGUGGGGUAAAGGCCUACCAAGGCGACGAUCCGUAACUGGUCUGAGAGGAUGAUCAGUCACAAGGGAACUGAGAAACGGUCCGGACUCCUACGAGAGGCAGCAGUGGGUAAUUUUGGACAAUGGGCGAAAGCCGGAUCCAGCCAUGCCGCGUGUGUGAAGAGGGUCUUCGGAUUGUAAAGCACUUUAAGUUGGGAGGCGUUACCAACAGAUUAAGCACAGGCUAACUUCGUGCCAGCCGCCGCGGUAAGAC